GACAAACGCUGGCGGAAUGUAUUAGGCAUGCAAGUCGUACGAACCUUCGGGUUAGUGGCGAACGGGUGAGUAACACGUGGGUAACCUGCCUCGUAGUGGGGAAUAACUCGCCGAAAGGCGAGCUAAUACCGCAUAACAUCCCUGGUGAGAUUCCAGGAGAUAAAAGCUCCGGCGCUACGAGAGGGGCCCGCGGUCGAUUAGCUAGUUGGUGGGGUAAUGGCCUACCAAGGCGACGAUCGAUAGCUGGUCUGAGAGGAUGGUCAGCCACACGGGGACUGAGAUACGGCCCCGACUCCUACGGGAGGCAGCAGCUAAGAAUCUUGCGCAAUGGGCGAAAGCCUGACGCAGCAAUUCCGCGUGGGGGACGAAGGCCCUCGGGUCGUAAACCCCUUUUGUGAGGGAAGAAGUUCUGACGGUACCUCACGAAUAAGACACGGCUAACUACGUGCCAGCAGCCGCGGUAACAC
rnacentral:rRNA from 1 species